UCUUCCGCACGCGGAAGUGUGCGCUCCAAAUUACCAGCGCGGGAUGAGGCUAUGGACAGCGCGCCCAACUUGUUUUAGCGCGCGCGCGAUUUUUACGCGUCCGUUGAAGCAUCCCGCCGCGUCACGCGCACGCUGAAAAGAGAUAUUUUUGGGCGCGGCGCUUGUUUUGAGAGUUCAAUUUCAAGAUGGCCAUCAAGCUUGUGGAUUCGUUGGACGAGCGUGACGUCGUCGCCGGCAACGUCCGCGCCGUGCUGGGGAGCUGGUCCUCACCUUCCCCUUUGUCUACACAGGAGUCGACACGCACUCUGCUCAUCUCUCCCUUGAUCCGCCAAUCCAUUCGCUUCUAGACCUUGCCAAGGGAUCAUUUGAGCUCACGAUUGGUCGGUUAACUUGCAGGGGUGCCGGAGCUAUGCUGAUGGCGACGUUGCCCUUGCGCAUGCACUGGCGGCGGGGGUGUUGGUGACAGCAAGAUUCCAUGUGUCCGGCGGGCACUUGAAUCCGGCGGUGGCGCGCGGGCAUAUCACGGCGUUCAAGGCGGCGUUGUACGUGGCUGCCCAACUGCUUGCCUCCUCCCUCGCCUGCAUCCUCCUUCGGUAAGACCCCCCCCCCCCCCGACAGGGCGGGCAACCGCAGCAUAUCCAACACGAUGGCGACCGCAACGGCGACGGAUACUGACGUGGCCGGCGUCGACUCCGACAGCAUGCCCAUCUACCAAACUCGAUGGUCGGCAAAGCGGUUGUGCGAGAUAGUGAAUGCCAUCAAAGGGAAGAAGAGGGAUGUUAUAAGUAAGUCCAGCUUCCGUGAUUUGCUAUACUUAUCUUCUUUUGUUCUUCCUCCAGAAGAUCUUCUCGAUAUCAUUGUCAUGAGGAUUGACACCAAUAAGCAUGUGUUUAAGUAUGUGGUCUGUUUUCUUUUCUUUACUUGUCUCCUUUUUCCCAUACAUGUUGCAUAACAUGCUUUUCUCACAAUAUAUAUUGAGUUUUUAAUUUUGUGUACUACCGAAUUAAUGAUAAGAAGAAGAUACACUUUACAUGAGACAUGGUUAGGAAGAUAUUCAAUGUGCAAUCUGGUAGGAGACCGCUAGAAUUUGGCAAGAGAGGCAAAGCUGGCUUACGUGAAGUUUAUUUGGACGGCGAAAGAGCUCCAAUACCCUCCAUAGUUGUUGUUUUAUCGAAGGUAGAUGAGGAGGAGGAAGAGACCAUCAAGAGUCAUGGGCUUUACUGUGCCUAGCAUUGGUCUUAACUCCUGGGACAGGAAACAUGGUUCCCCUGGAAUAUCUAUACACUUUUUGGGAAAUGGGUGUGGUCCAUCAGUUCGUGUUUGAUGAGCAUAUCCUCUCUGAUGUGAUGAAAGAAGUUAAAAAAUACCAGGACGGGAGGAACGAUGGUCAAAGGUAAUUUACAUGGAACAUCUUUAUGUGCCAAGAGCAUGUUUAGUGGAUCACACUAUCAACUACUCACUGCCUAGAGCUUGUUUUGUUCAUGAAAUGGACUUUUAUGUUGUUGUUGUCGUUAACACUCUGGAUGAUGGUUUUGGGAAGUGGCCUCUAAGUUACUCAAACCGAAUGCAUCGCUUUUAAUAUAUUUGAUUUAUCUAGAGGACCUUCUUAUGUGUUGUAAUUCUA